rnacentral:rRNA from 1 species
UGAGGAAUUUUGGACAAUGGGGGCAACCCUGAUCCAGCGACGCCGCGUGUUGGAUGACAGGGUUUAUCCCUGUAAACAACUGUCAUGUGGGAGAAAAAGCUUUAUUAUAGGGCUGGGAUAGUACCACAAGAGGAAGGGUCGGCUAACUACGUGCCAGCAGCCGCGGUAAUACGUAGGACCCGAGCGUUGUCCGGAAUUACUGGGUAUAAAGGGUGCGUAGGCUGGUUGGUACGUCAGAGGUUAAAGACUGCAGCUUAACUGCAGCGUUGCCUUUGAAACGGCUGAUCUUGAAUAUGAGAGAGGAUGAUAGAAUUCCUGGUGUAGCGGUGAAAUGCGUAGAUAUCAGGAGGAAUACCGGUGGCGAAGGCGGUCAUCUGGCUCAUCAUUGACGUUGAGGCACGAAAGCGUGGGUAGCGAACAGG